GCAUCAUCCGACUGAGCCCUGGGAGAUGGAGCAGAAGCAGCGAAGGUCAAGCUGACUGCUUUGUGGUCAGUGUGCAGGAGACAGGUGGCCGUGGUGUGGACUCUCGCGGUUGUGUAGAGAUGCAGAAGAAGAGGGAUUCCAGGAUACAGCUGGGACAGUGAACCCGUAGGGCUUGCUGAGGGAAACGGGAAAGCAGACACAUCAACUCAUCAAGCGUGAUUCGCUCGUCUCGGCUGGGGAGGGCUGGAGGAGGAUGUGCUAGACCGUGGGGCGACAGAGAGCCAGAGUCCAGCGUGGAUUAUAUUUAGCUGAAGAGGCCCAUAAGGUGCAUAAGUCGAUGUGACAAAGCCAAGCGGCGCUGUAGUGAGCGAGACUCUAGGCCAGAGAUAGAAACUUGGGAAGCGUCGGCAUAUGGGUGGUAUUUAAAGUCAUGACAGGGACGAGCUUCUCAAGAGAUGUGAAGGAAGGAGAAGCAACCCAGUGGAGCUCGGGAACUACUGGUCCACUGGAGGAGCAGUCCACAGGGAACCGGGAAGGAGAGGAGCACCCCUGGACGGCGGGGUCGGAGAACCCCAAAGAGCUCAGUGUCUGAAUCGGGGAGCCCAGUCAACUCUGCGAAUGCCACCAGAAGGCCAGGUCCGCGGCACACACAGCACGGAAACAGCGGAGCUUCGGGGCGAUGUGCGCUCGGGCGCGCGGUUCCGGCUGGAUUCCCACUCCUGAGGCUGAGACAGAAAAGUCUCCCGGAACCUGGGGAAAUAGAGGAAGACUCCUUCAGUCCUGAUGGUGAGGGGUAGAAAUGUCCAGCAGGAAUCACCUUUUGCUUUUUUUUGGUCUUUUUCCUUUUUAUCCGUACCGGGGAUCGAACUCACGACUGCCUGCUUGCAAGGCAGGCACUUAUGCCGCUGAGCUAAAUCUCCAGCCCCACCUUUUGCUUUCUUUAUAUUUAUUUUUUGUCUGCGAUCCUGAGACUGAACCCGGGACCUUCACUCUGAGCUAUGCACCAAACUCCUCCAUUUUUUUGAGACAGGAUCUCACUACAUUGCCCAGGCUGGGGUUGAACUUCUGAUCCUCCUGCCUCAGGUCCAGCGUCACAGGGUACACUUGCUGGGGUUAUAAAUCUGUUUAAGCAAAGCUCCUGGGGCAGGUUUGGGAAUAGCAUGCAGAAGUCUCAGGGCAAAAGGAACAUUGGCGGCGGGGCAAGCCUACGCUGCAUAAAAUGCACCUCACCGAGGGCUGGGAAUUUAGCUCAGCAGUGCAAGCACUUGCUGGUAGCAUAAGGUUGUGAGUUCCAUCUCCAGGACCAAAACAAAAGCAUCUCGUGGAAAACCGCAUUGCUGCCUACAAAUGCCUCAAACAUCACAUGUUGACCUUACUGCGUAGAUAAGCAAUAAGGAACAAUAUUGCUGAACUAAAGAGGACAUGGUUCCUGCAUCAGGGUGGGACAGGAGAGACGCCCCCAGGACUGCCUGGCUGCAGGCGGUGAGGGACAGGGCCACAGUCUGAAGACCGUUGGUGCCGAUGACUGCCCCAGCACCAGAUGGCACACAAACCAAGACACCACAUCAUCUGCAAGGCUGAGGGGCAGACAGGAGGGCACUGAGGGGCACAGAAGCCCUCUGGAUUGAGCGUGUGUUAGCCAACUGUGCCACCUGGCUUCCCACUUUCCCCUCCCGCUGUGCAAGAACCGUCUGCAAGGGUGCUGGGUGCCCUUGCUGGGUGCCACCCUCACCCCACGAGCCUGCCACUUCCUUCUCAUCAGAACUAAUUGUGAUGCCCACGUUUCUUGCACUGAAGAUGCCUAUGCCUUUCUCAUGUCCUGCACACCCCAGCUGACCUGUCCUGGGUCACAGGCCACUGCAGCCACUCUCCCAACGCAGUGCUCACCGCGCUCCUCUCUGCCUGGUCCCCAGCCCACCCACCCGGCUCCAGGACAUAGGGUGCCUUCUCUCUCCCGCUUCGGAGAACUGCACCUCCUUCAAGGGGAGCUCCCACUGCUACAGCCAGAGUAGCUCCAAAAGCCUCCUGCUUAUUUGGGUAUCUGUGGCCUCUCUGUGCAGUCAUCUCAUCAUCCACCGAGUCUUCGCCGAGUGCCAAGUGCCAGUGCCUCACUGGUGGAUUUAAAAAGGCACUGAGCCCCUUUCCUUCGGCUGCACAUCUCAAGGUGAGUCUAUAAUCUCUGAUUUCCAGGGCAAACUCAGGCUCACACAGCACGUGCCCGACUCCCUUCUAAGUGUCUUGAUGGGAAACAGCUACAUUGUAGCCACUUUUAUUUCCCACAUUCUGCACUUCUAAAAAGUGCUCAGUACGGAUCACCCUGGGUUGGUUUCCACGCCCGUAUCACUGACUGUGUUUUGCUUCCACUUUCCGAGAUUUCUACCACAAUAGAAGUGUUACACAAGAGCUAUCCUGUCAUCCACGUUCCGCCCAGUGGAGAAUUCUUGUUCCAGCUCACACCCAAUAUGGGGCAGACCUGGACACCUUUUGUGGGCUCUGCUGCUGAACACUGCCAGGCUUCCCCCGGGCCAGCCAAUUGUACGUUAGCCAGGGAGUUCAUCUCCUGCCUGCCCCUGUGAGUGUGCACUGCGGCCCCUCCAAGGUGCUCCUAGACACCUCAGCUUCCUGAGAAACCACAAACUCCCACUGGGGAUCCUUCCACUCUCCCCUGAUCCCUCUCACCACUCUCAGCCUCCUUCACUGAGGUCAGGAUGAGUCCUGCUCACCAGGAUCCAGCUUUGCACACAGUUCCGGAUCCACCCUCUCCUGUCUCCCCUUUGCUGGGCCUUCCUCCCUCCCAUAUCCCCUCUCUCAUCUGAAUCUUCAAACUCUGCCCUCUGCAGACCGUUUCGUGGGCCGUGAAGCCCUCUUCAUGGCCCCCAUUCUAACCAGACUUCCCCUCGCCCCUUCUCUGUGUCUCUCUGUAGCAUCCCGGCUACCUUUCUUCUUAUUCGCUUUUCUUUCUUUGAUUUUCACAGUGAUAAAACUAUUUUUCUGACUGCAUAAAAUAUGCAGUAAUUUUUUUAAAACAUUCAAUAAAUUAAACUCUAAGGAGGAGGGCAAAAAAGAUUCUAAAACCCCACCUCCCUGUGAUAGCUGCCGUUAAUAUUUGGGAACAUUUUUGCAGACUUCAAUCCAUGUGUCCAAGCCAGGUCAGCAGUGGUGGGAACACACUCAGGGCAUCACAUUCUCACAUCAGCUUUUCCAAAUGCAGUUUUCUUUCUUCCCUGUCCCAGCCCUUGCAAAUGGCAUCAUGCCCCACUUGGGGAUGUCAACACCUGGUCUGAGUCCUCCUGGAAAGUCUUCUUGCUCAUGCCAUUGCUGGGACAGAUGCGUGUGGGCAGUGUCAGGUGUGUGGAGUCUCUCCUGCCACCAGAACUGCAGUCGGCAGAGAACACCUUUCUUUCUCACUUAGGUAGGCUUCUGAGGAAUCACUUACUCACAUUUGUUUCCACGGGGGAUUAAGCUGAGCUAUCUUUAAUAGAAAAUCCAAGUAAGAGCAUUAGAGCAGGGACUUACUUCCUCCACAUAGAAGCAAGAUCAGAGAUGAGUGGUCCAGCACCAGCACAGUGGCCCCUCUGUCCCUUUCCCUGGCUGCUGUGAGUGUUCCCAUCUCUGUCCCUGCAUCAUGAACUCACCUCUGUGCUCUCAAGAUGACCACGAAGCCCAGUGAGCCAGUUAACAGCAAGCCUACUGGGCGGUACCACCCGCACCCGCUGUGGGCCUUGCCAGGACCAUGCUCGACGAGUCAGGGCACUAAUGUAGCUGUCACACACCCUUACACCCUAUCCAAGCACCCUUAGUCUCAGGGUCACACCAUGGAUCCAGCCAUCUCCAAAAGGCCCCAUCUGUGAGCACACGAGGCUUUGGGGGACACUGAGACACAAGUCAUAACGAGGACAAAGUUUCCGAUGGUACUGAAUUUACCUAAUGUAACUCAGAUGCUUCCUCUGACAUUGCCAGGUAAUGAAUCUCCCUUACAAUAGUGUUAGGUAGAUCUCCUUCUCAUUGACCAAAUCACCUGACAUGUGUAAUGCAAAAGACAGAAAUUUAAAAACCAUUUUAACAACUUUUGAAUUUUCUUUGCUAAACAUUCCCUUUCUUUCCCAUCCUUCCCACCUCCUGGUUUUUUGCCUCCAAAUUCUCAUAGGUCUGCUUUGAGAAUAAGUCAAUUAUCUGAACAUUUCUGAGAGCCCAGGCCAGCACCCGCUCAUUCACUGUCAGUCUUUGCUCGCCUCGCAGCUGGGCCAGGCUGCUCACGGCAGUGCCCGCAAGUCCAGGGCAGGACCGGUCCUGUGUGCUGGGCCCCACUCUGUCUUCACUGUCCUCACUGCAUGCAUGCUGUGCCUGUGCCACCCAACAGUGCGAUGAUUUAUAUCAACUUUGGCUUUUCCCUCCUAUCUCCUUUAUAUGAGCGUGAAGUACCAGGAAAUCCCCAUUUCUUCCGUUGAAGCUGACCAAGUUUUCAGCAACUUCCGUACUGCCUGUUUAAAACAGCAAAGUGUAAGUGUUCUCUGCGGAUUGUGAGACCCUCCGUUAAUUUAACUUGAUUUAACUCCGUUGGCGACAGUACAGGAAGGGACAGCUCCCCAGCAGGUUCUCUAGAAGGUUAGUGAGUGUGGCGCUGUGGUUCCUAGAGGGGCUUUUGCUUCUUCUGAAUGGCCUGCCCUGACCCUGUUCUCUGACAGGCAUAAGGGAAAGACAAGUUUCUACCUUCAAGUAAUUGUAAAAUGUAACCAUGCUUUGUUUUAACUUCUUAAAUUAUGACUUUUCUUCCAAGCCCUCUGGCUGGCGACCUUGAGUUAUAUCUCAUGAUGUAUACGUUUGGCACGUGAAACCAGACGCUCGAGAGGUUUAUACUUUCUUUGUAAGCAGGCCAUUUAGUGUUUGAUUAUCAUUUAACAUCACAGAUGAAAAAUGAAUUAGUGGUAUCAGGCCAUGUUUCCACCACAGCCAUUAAUGGGAGCCGGGCUGCCACAGACGCUGCGGGAAGCUAAAUUCAAGCUUUGCUGGUGUGGGCAUCCCUGAGGCAGAGGACAAUGUGGUGUAAGUGGAAGGAGGCCAGCGUGUGGCCUCCACAAGCACCCACUCCCUGUUGGGAUGCAUCCAAAGGUCAGGAGUGAAGCAAGGUCGCUGGCGGCCACUGUCACUCCCCAGGCCCGCUGCCUGAGUAGCCGCUGGGCCCCAGGACCUGAAGGACACGUGUUCUACACACUGCAUUCCGUGAAACAGGAGAAACAUUUGAAUGAGCCAGAGACACAGUGGACACACAUCGUUAAUCAGAGUGCUACACAAGUCUGAUGCAAGUUUAAGGACCACUGACUGCACCCAUGCAAGUAGCUCCUUGUAUGUGGUCUUGGAAGACACCAUGAACCAGGCGAGCUUAGAAAAGAGUACAGCAAAAGCUGCAAGAAGCCAGAGAGGCCAGAAGAGGACCAGGACAUCAGAGUGCUCACCAUCGGCAAGGAGCACAGUCAAAGCUCCUGACUAUGCCUGAGACGCUGUGCGCACCUGUUUGGUGGGACCUGGAAGCGUGGUAACCAUAACGGUGAGCAUGAGGCAGAAACUGUACCCCAGAGGGAAGGCCCUCUCAGAGCCCAGAGCAGGACCUGCCACCAACAGUUACUCCAUAAAAGCACGGUAAGUGGAAAGACGCGUGACUUCUAACUUUGGUAGACUGCCUACCACACAACAGGUACUGUGCCGAGUCCUGGUCCUACUGGACAGAUUGUAUCUUUCAACUCUAAAAUCCAGGUUUUAUCACAUUUGUCACAUGAGGAAGUCAAGGAAUAGAAAAGGCAAACCCAAGAUCGAAGAGCUAGACAGCGGGAAAAUGAGGAUCUGGGUGGAGAGCUGUGCCUUGGUUUUUGUAUUAACACUUCUUCGGUAUCUUUCCAUCCGAACCAGAACAAAGCGGGUCCCAGUAGGCAGAAGGCGAAGUCCAGGAGGCAGAGCUCACCCGCUCUGAAGCCCUGACUCCAGAGCUGACCGCCUGGCCCUCUGCUGUCCCUCUCUCUGCCCUCUGCCCGCCGCUCUCCAGGGGCUGCACCCACCACCCCCUUCUGCAUGUUUAUUUGCUUUGGAGCAGGCAUUGUCUGUGGUCAUUGACCCAACUCAUUUGCAAAUAUUACAGUGUCUUUAGGCAUCUUCUUUGGGGUGGUCAGCCGGCAAGGCCAAGAGCUCCAUGUGUUAUUUAUCAAAGCAAAAUUACAUGGCUAGCAAAAAGCAGCACCAAAAUUACAGAGAUGCGUGCAUCUUUCGGCCGUACCCACAGGGCACUGUUUUUCUUCUGAAAAACAGGUAUUUGUUCACAUCAUGUUAUGCUGUGAAAUAAAAAAAAGAAUCUGGAAUUUAUAAUCUAAUAGACUGGAAAUAAUUAUGGACAAUGAAGUAAUAAUGUCUAUUUGUUUAUGCUUUUCCAUAUGUAACUUGACCUACAUGUUUAAAAAUAUAAAUUUAUUUUAGCAUUUAUUUGUAAUUGUACCAUUAUUUAUGUUUCUGUCAAGUGAUUUUUCGUUAGUGCUCUUUUAUUUUGGAUAAGAUUAUUGACAAGCCAAUUCUUACAUGAAAGCCAAAAGCAUGGAGUGCAUGUAUAUUAAGUUUCUAGUGCAUAGCUGACAUUCAGAUAACCAGUUUUUUACAAAGUAUCAUUGUUACACAUUCACUGCCAUAGCACAUUAGUUCUUCAUGAUCAAACAUUGGUCGUGCGGGAUCCGUCAGCCGUUGGAAGACAUGCUUGGUCCGGCCGUGCCUGGUUCCUUCUCAUUGUGUGGCUGCAGCAGCAGAGACUGAGAGAGAAGCUUCCGAGGCCAAGGCCACCUCCAGGAAGGUCAGUGUCCCCUGCCCCUGAGAAGGCCCAGCAGAAAGAAUGGAAAAAUACCCUAAACUUCUAUGCACACCUUGACACCAGAAAUGGAUAUGUCCCAAAGGAACUUAACUACUGCUCUGUUCUGGGACGUGAAUUCACAAACAGAUGUUCUCAGGAAUCACUGCAAGGGGCACAGUACUCUCCCUCUGCCUCGGAUCUGGAUACCCUGUUUGGCCCCCCAAUUCUCCUCGGCUUCGGCUUUCUCAAGCACCUUGGGCUGCAUUUAUCACUGGUGUUCAGACUUUACUGUAACCCAAGUGGAAGUCCUGAGCAGAGCUCUCACAUCCCCAAGAGAGCACCAGGCCUGUGGAAAGUGCCCAGGCCGAUGAGCGAACCCCACCAGGAAGGGCGGGCAUCCUGGGGGGAGGGGCGGCAGCAGGUGCAGCGUCGUGGCUGGCGUGAGAACCAUCUGCGCUCAGCAGGUGCGCACCUGGGAAGGAAGGAGCCAGAGGAAAUAGCUCCAACACUCUCCCGUCAGGGCCUGCCAGCCUCAGCGCUCCUCUCGCCGAGAGCGGCACAGAGGAGGAGAGUCCCCGUCCCCACCACAGUGGGGAUGGCCCGGACAGUGGCCCAACCCAGGGCGACUGGGAGCAUCGAAGCCGGUCCUUUGGGCCUGGGCAGAAUGAGUGAACCGGACACCCCGGCCUGACCUGCACCCACCGUGUGGCACAGCCCCUGUCCUUUGCUGUCACUGAAAAGCCAAGAUGGCACAGGCGGAUCACAGAGGGAGAAGUCAGUGUGUUCACAUGUGUGACCCCACCAGACAUGCACCAUCGGCCGUCACAGCGAGCCACCAAACUGUGACGAUGAAAAUGUUAGAUGUCUGACUUUAUAGGUGGGAUUGAGAAGGACCAUAUAGUGGUCUAGAAACUGUUCAAAAUGAGAGAAAUGGUAACAGCCAUGUCCACUUGGAGACGGCUGCCUUUUACCCUUCAGUCAUUACAGGCAAUCUUUACAGUAAGCAGACUACUUGAGAAAUUACUUAAACCAGUUAGGCAACAGCUUCUUGAGAAACAGCAGUGAGUCACUGUUUGGUCUAUUAUUUUUAUAUCUUAAAUAUUAUAUAUAUAUUAUCUAUAUAUUAUAUGUAAUAUAUAUCUAUAUAUUAUGUAUUAUAUAUUAUAUAAAUAUGUAUUUAUAUAUAUAUUCUAAGACUCCCUGGUGGCCACACCAUCAUCUAUGACCCCUGCUUACCCUCUAAGUCCCCUAUGUGGCCCAUAAAGCAGUGCGUGCCACGUGUGCCAAGGGUUUGAAGCAAAGAGCAUCCUCCUGCACAUAACUGCUGGGAUUCCUCCCUCCCGCAGACUACAGUUGUUUUCUCUCAGAAUUGGGGAGGUGAAAUACUGAGGGUUACCAGAGACUCUGAAGGUCUUAGCCAGACGAGUCAAGAAGCUCCCCGCAUGAAGGCAACAGAAUCAGCCCAGUGAGCAGCGUUAGCGGGAGAAAAGCUCAGAAGGAAAACACCAGAUUUGUGGAUUGCAUUCUAGCGCCAUGGAGAUUUCUGAAACACACAAGCCCUGGUGCAUGUGAGAGAAACCUGCUGAGCCUUCAGGAGCUUACCAGGACCACGACCCCAGGAUCCCAGAUGUUUCCAUGACGUGUGCAUCAGGGGAGAUAGUCAUAGUAUGAAUGCUAGGGACAUCCAGAUAACAACCAUGUCCUGGUCCUUCAAGAACGUCUUAGAAUCUGAUUCCCUUCUCCGGCCUACCAAUCAAAAAAAAAAUUCCAUGACCUGCCUUGCAUCUGUUGUUUUUAAAAUAACUUCAUAAUAAUGUACAAUUUCUAUUCUUAUUUUGUUGAAACCACUGGCAUUUCCCCAACCCGUAAACAAAAACAGCAUACUAGAAACCACCAGACAUCAAGUAUGCAAUUUUCUUCCCUAAUACUCGGUCUAAAGAAAGGCUCCCUGGCACACUGACUGUCACCGUGGAGCAGGCAUUCGCAUGCUGUCACUGCCCGGUACGCGGUGACGUUCCUUUCCAGCGAGUCACAUUGUGAGGUACUGUAUAUUUUUGUUGCUAAAUUUAUUAACAUAUAUUUAUGGGCUUAUAGUUAUACAGUUUUUCUUGUGGUGUUUUUGUGUCCAGACUAAUUCUUGCUAAUUUUCUUUUGUUUUUCCAAGGAGUAUUUUUGUCUUCCCAAGCCUCAAGAAUUGUGUUUGAUGUGGUUAUCAAGAAGUAAUCCCAAAGUUUUGGUACCCUUAGGAAUAAAUCCCUAGUGUGCGUUAUCCAUGCGCCUUCCGAGGUUCCUGCCCGGGAUUCAGUCCCGGGCAUUCGAAAUGGGGCGUCAAAUAUAAUUAAUGUGUCUGGCCACAAGUUUAGCACACCCCCCAGCUUCAGGGUCAAAAGGGUGGGACAGGAAAGCAGUGACCAUCUUUCACCGAGAAAAAGGUGCAGUCGUGAAAGCCACACACUGGGGGCCAGCGGGAGCGGGAGCAGAAGCUUUUGUGUGAGAAGAUGUGGAUUAGCGAUUUAUAUAAAGUGACUUAACCUCUCACAACCUUUUCUACUGUUAGAAGAAUUAAAUAAAGUAUGUUUGCUGUGCCUGUAUAUUUGCCACAUAAAGCAAAUUGAUGUUAAAUAAAACAGCGGGUUGGUUACUGUGCACACCCAUGGGUGUGUUAUUUGUAGAUCUGCACGCUUUCACAGAGCAAGCUGUGCUUACACGCCGAGGCCUUAGUGAGCAGAAUGCUGUGAGACCUGGGUUAGAUAAAGUGUAGAAAGGCCUUAUUUUCCUAUUAAAGUCAGUUAUAUUCAUGCAUCAUUGCUAAAUAGGAAACUGGAAAUUCACUCAACGUCAAGAAAAGCUAUUUAGCCACUGAUGGUUCCCAUUUCGUCUCGAGUGGUCUGGCAGGAAACUGGCAUAUCACUUGUUGGCAAAUUUGAAUGGUAUUAAAUUGAACAGGUAAAAAAUAGGCUUGUGAAUUAACAAAUUAAAUUUGCAAUCUGCAUUUCCGAAUAGCGCGGACUGAGGAAUGCUGACGUGAUUUCCUGAAAGCAUGAGGAUUCACCGCAGCGCCGCGUCCUCUCCCAAACCAGCCCUGGGUCCGGCCCUCUGCCUGGCCCGCGGGCAGCAGGUGAGCGGCUGAGGCCACUGGCCUUGGCGUCCUCGGUGUCCGGUCUCGCUUCCGACUCACAUCUGUGCUUGGAUCCCAGCUUCUGUUUGCCGAGCUGGCCACUCUCUUGUCUCUCCAGCUUUCUGCUCAGCCAUCAGCCCCGCUCGGCCCACAGACCGGACCUCACCCAGGGACACAGCUGCUGCAGACCGGCGCCACUCCAGGCCAGGGCUUUGUUCCCAAGUGUUCUCUACCCUCUCUACCAUGGCUCCCGCCCACUGGCUUAGCUCAGGGGUUCACAGCGGGGAGCACAGCAGCUGCCCUCUCUAGAGCCAGCCGCCGGCCACCCGGGACACGCCACACACUGCGCUCCUCCUGGGGCGGCCCCCUCUCCUCUUGCCGUGGUUAGGUCCUCUGACACCUGCUCUCCUCUCCCAUCCGAAGCGCACUGUCAUUCUAGAUGAGUAUGUCGACGUGAUCAGCUCAUUGGCUCUUUAUUUUUGAUCAGCUGCCAACCAAAUCCAGACAAACGCCGUGUUAGAGGUGUCCGCCUUUCACACAGUGAGCAUCAGAGAGAAGGCGACAGUUUUCUAAGCAGGAAAAACUCCUGUCACAUUCCGGUCCUGCAGUCAGAUGUAACACACUUUCAUCACGGUUCCCUAAAGCCAAGCAAACUGAAGCAGCCUGCGCCUUGGGUGGGUGACAGUGUGCAGAUGCUGCCUGAGCACGAAAACAUUCAUGGGAAUGAAAUGAAAAUCCACCACUGGAGCCCCGGCUGGAGACCCUUCCCUUACCCUGGGCUGCGUGCUGCCUAGAAGCUGCUCACCCCCGACCCUGCCCGUCCAGGUGCUCCUGGAAAAACCGGCAAUCAAGGGAAGGAAAGGCUUCUCCACACGCAGAAACUCAAGCCCACUGAGUCCGCCGUCCUGACCCCAGUGCCUUGAAGGAGCUGAGCACUGCAGCUGCCACUCGGCCAGCAGAGAAGGUGCUCUGGGAGCGGCGCAGGAGGCAGAGGCAGAGGCAGAGGCGGAGUGGGCCAGUAGCAUCAAGGACCCCAGUGUCCCCCAAGCCGGUCUGCAAGCACGCAGCAUGUGAAUACUUGUUCUGAUGUGGGCAAAGCGCUCUGCGUAUUCAUUCGGGCUGGCGAUGGGAGCCAGGGCCUCCCGCAUGGUGCUCUCCCACUGAGCAGGACCCCCACCCCUGUCCGUGUCUUCCCAUCAAACUAUCAAACUGUGGACAAGUAGCCACUUCCUGCUGCAUGCUGGAUCUGUGCGCCCACGGAGACACUGUCAGUCAGGCGCUCGGUCCCGGCAGAGGGGACUGGCCUCAGCUUCAUGGCCCCACGCCACCACUGGGGCAUGGAUUUCAGAGACGUCUCUCCAUGUUCCUCAAAGGUUUUCUGCAGCCAGAGAGGAAUCGGUGGGAAGAGAAACCGACCACCAAGCACAAGUCUUCAGCCCAGGCAGGCCACACACGCAAUGUUUAUAAGCAUAAGGGAGUGCUCACGCUAUCGUCAACCCUCAGGUGGGGUGUCCGAAAAAUCAGGGUGUCCUCCACCUCUCAAAAAGUGCCCCAGUCUGCAGGCUGUCAGUACUGAGCAUGGGAAGCAGAGAGGGGCUGAGGCUUCCUAUGAGACUGCAAACCUAGACAAAGGCACAUAGGAGAGCAUCCGCUUACAUUUCAUUAUAACGGUAUUGAAAAUUGUAUUUCCAAUAAAUGUCUUUUUAAUCCUGUUAAAGUAAAUGAUUCACAGGAUGUCUGCCAUGUCAUUUCUGAUCAGCCCAUGGCUCCCAGUCCCGAUUCCAGGUCCCAAGUGUACAGACUGUGACCAGAUGGAUGAGGGGGUUGGAGAUGGGCGGAUGGACAGAUGGACGAUGACCGGCUGUGAUUGAUGUGGUUUGGGUACAUUUCCCCCUACCAUUUAAUCCUUUGAUACUGCAAACCUCCCACUGCGGUCUGAAAUGUACCCUCUGACAUGGGUCAGGCGCUUUGUUCCGUCUCUAAGAACUCUGAUUUCAUUGUUUUCUUGUGAUUCUUCCACUGUCGCCCAGUGCACCCAGGCUUCUGGAAUCCGCAGCUCUCAGCAGGGGCGUGCCGAGCCCUGGCUGCACCUCCAAGUCCCCCCCACUUCGAGGCCCCGCCCCAGCCUCCCUCCCUCCUCCACCUGUGGUGGGAAUCACACCACCAGAACCCCAACUCUGCUCCCAGAAGCUGCCUCUGCCAGUGCUGCCAAAUGAUGAAGUGACAAUGGCCAGCCACAGCCAGGCCUCCAGGGGCUCCUGAUGUACCAGGAGAGGGCAGUUCCCUCCGGCCGGGGUCGGCGAGGACCUGGCCAGCGUCACUGGGCAGCCAUGCAGGGUGACACACAGAAAAGCACCAUUCCCACCAAAUUUCAAAACUGCUAAGCUCAGUGAAAAUGGCAUGAGCUGAACAGGAAGAGGGGCCUCGUACGUAAUUCAGAGUACAGCCCUGGCAGCCCCCUGAAGGCGUGGUCAUCUCUCUGAGCCACACGUCAGCUGUGUGACCUUGAGCACAUUACUCACUGUCUCUGUGCUCUCACUACUUCUGCAGGGUGAGUGUGACUGUGCCCACCUCGUAGAAUUACUGAGGGAACGAGGUUCCACAAAAUACUUAGAGUAGCACCGGGCACAUAGUAAGUACUCAGGAAGAGUUGAGUGACUUUAUUUAUUUAUUUAUUUAUUUAUUUAUUUAUUUAUUUUGGUCUUUUUGGGACAGGGUCUCACUAUACAGUGCAGUCUGUCCUUGAGCUCACUUUGUAGCCCAGACUGGUCUCAGACUCAAAGGAUCCUCCUGCCUCAGCCUCCCAAGUGCUGAGAUUAUAGGCGUGCACCACCAUGUCUGCCUGUUGAGUGACUAUCGACACUCACAUUACUAUUAAGAACAUUGUUAUUGAUUUUGAAGGAAGAACAUAAAGGAGAAUAGGAUUAAGAACCAUCAGAGGAGCUCAGCAUGAGGACGGAGAAAAUCUGGUGCCUUCAACCCCUGCUCUGCUAUCAUGAUGGGUCGAAUUCAAAUCCACUCCUCUACCCUACAUAUAGGGAGGAAAUCAUGACCAAAGUAGCUUACCAAAACCCCAAAGCAAUAUGUCAAUAGCAAGCUUUCUGUUCUUUCCUAUGAACUGGUCGUUUUCUGCAACUGCUUAAAAACUAAGAAAAAUACUCCAUUGUCUUUGAAUGAAGGCCUAGAUGUAUUUUUAACUCAUUAACAGCUUAUAUUAUCUUAGAUUAACACUACAACUAAAACUUUCUCUAACGAAGCAGCCCGUUCCCUCCCAACCACAGUACGCCCAGCUCUAACCCGUCUCCACUGAAGCCCCACUUUAUCCCUAAACAGAUGCUGAGAAACCGGCUCGUGCUCCCUGACACAAAAGUCUACUGCCCUAUUCUAAAAGCUGCACGGCUGGCGUGCGAGCACGAGUUUGCUUUCCGUGUCACGAGGUCUGUUUUCGGGAGGCGGAGCCCUCACACUCUGCUGUUCUGUUCUGUGCCGCUCCUCACUCGAUGGCUCUGUGACUCGGAGGCUCCUGAUCGGUUCCACCACGCCACGCCACCCCGAUAACCCAAUUUCAGACGCUUCGAUUGACCGCUGCCGCUCAUCUGAGUACUUGGGCAUCUCCUAGUGUCACAGGCACAACAGAAACCUGGCAUCAUUCUUCCUGUCACACAGCCUGCGUUUUAGCUGGAAAAGGCAGACAGCAAGUAAAAAGCAGACCUGUACCAGUGGUGAUAGGUUUUAAAGAAAAGUUAGGACAGCACCGAACUACCACCUAAAUAAAAGGAAAGAAUAAAAUACAUAAAACUCUGAUUUAUUGUCCUAGGCACCAGUCCUGUCAUCCAGAAAAAAGCCCUGGCUUCUCGCAGCUUCUGCCAAGUAGUGGUUAAGUAUCCCGCGGCUUUAGAGCCGUGGGGAUGAGCAGUCCUCUACAGAAGAUCAGCAGAGGAGGCAGCACGGUAACGACGGUUCCAGCUCUGCCGCACGACUCUGGACUUGGCCGGGGCCAGCAGAGAGCACACACCCUGAGCCUGGCCGCAGGGAGCAGCUCAGCACUCAGCCGAGCUGACAACGGGCAGAAGGUGUUCGGAGAGUACAAGAUCAGGGAACAGCAAAUCUCCGAGCCCAGGGCCCUAACUUCUUGGGUGUAAGAUAUUGGAAAAGUUACACAGCCUCUGCAAAUCGCAGUCGCCUUAUCUGUGAAAUGGGACAAGUAAACACACAGAGGCGUGUGAAGGCAGUCUUCCGCCAUCGGGAGUCUUGGUCUCUGUCUCCUCGGCUUCUCUGGUGCUUAGGCGGAGCAGCAUCACUGUUCACAGGACGACACAGGCACCUCGGCUGCGCUGGCGGCCACACCGCAUCCCUGACACACGUCUAAUCCGGACAGACGGGAAGGCAGAGGAGAGCGGAAGGGACGGGGCUGUGACCAGCCACUGCUGCAAGCACCCCAAAUCUCCCACCAAAUAAGACUUUUACAGAUUUUUCCUACUCAGAGUAAAAUUUGUUCCGGUUCAAGAAAGUCCACUCAAGUCGGCGGUGCUUUAUCUGCCUCUCGCCGAGGCGGAGAGGGCUCAGCAUCCUCUCCUGAGACCCGACUCCCGUCAGCCCCAGACACUACCAAUCUCACAACAAACAGACUUGCUCACUGUCCAGCAAACCUCGCACCGGGUGUUUAGGAACAGUCGAGACACCAGUGUGCGCAGAAUCUGUUAAAGCGAACACCGAGGCCAGGUGUGAGAUGACCGAGGAGCGAGUUCACACCAGAAAACAUCUUCAAGGCACAGGAGACUGGACACGAUCUGUGUCCAAGCAGAGAGCCAGGGACCAGCCGGGAGGAGUCUCGGGGCCCCUGAGCGGCUGGGGCUCUCAUGCUGAGACGCGGACGGGGUGAGCUCUGAGCGGGCUGUCACUUGACUGUGGCCGGUCUGAUGUCCAGGUGUAAGUGAAGGGGAAGGAUGACCGGCCAAGUGGUGACAGAGGCUCCCGUGUCUUCUGAACCAAAGCGUUGGCCUGAGAAAACCCCCUUCCUAGCAGGGCAACCUGAUGUGAGGGGUUGGUGGGGUGGCGGCUACUGAGGAGGUCCGCAGGCCCAUGUCUGGUGGGGAAGGAAGCUGAGCGUGCACAGAGGUUUCUCAGAGUGUGGGUGGCACUGAGAUCUGGAGAGGAGAGGGGCUGAAGUCCCCCUGCACAAGCACAGCCAGAGACCCUUUCGGGUAGAGAGCACCAGGGGCAAAGAGACAGCAGACCCGGUGGGAGGGCAGCUCUGCGGGAAGAGGGGGAGCCCCCGGGGUGGACGGGGGCUGUGCCAGGCCGCAGGGCCCCGGGGCCCCCAGGCCACAGCCCCACCUGCCACCCAGGAGGCUCUCCCAUGGGGCGGGCGAGAGCGGGCCACACACAACCUCACAUGCAGUCUUCACCCCCAUUAGAGAUAAGCUGUUUACAAGCUCUGGGGUGGGCACAGAAUUCCAAGCUCUGCGGUUCCUCUCCCCAAACGUAAUCACCCUCCACACCCUGCUCUCUGGGAGCCCUAGAGGCAAAGGGACAGCCAGGCUUGGGCACAGUCAUGAAAUCUGGGUGCUGCAAAUGCACCCCAGCUCCAGAAGCACAGGAGGGGAGGAAGAGGGCGGACUAGCAGGGCCUUGCACAGUGCGGUUUGUGCCUUUUUAUUAACAUCCUCAGGAAUCCGAAAGUCCGCGUGAUACCUAAGAGGGAUUUCUUCUGUCUCAAUUAUGCCUCUACGUUUUUUAAAGAUGAACUAUGAAUUCUUUUUUAAACCGAAUGCUUUGCAGAAAUAAUGAAUAUUAACUACAUCUCAGAGCCGCAGAAAAGACGCCUAACUAGGGUUUCUUUGUGGCAGCUGAGCAGUGCCCUCUACAGGCGGCCGGCGGCGACGCAGCGGACCAAGGUGUGCAGGAGAAGUAGGCGCGGGCCCAGCUUGCUGCCCCGUCCGGCCUGGCCCAGGAGGCCGGAACCUGGCAUGGCGUCACCUGCACCCCACCACCACCACCUACUGCCUCCCCUGGCGAAAGCAUCUCGGUUUUAGCAAAAUCUGCUUUUGCUGUGAGUCUGCUCCACACCACCAUUUGAAUGUACAUGAAAAUAACAGUAAAAACAAGUACAUUUGUUCUGCUAUGCAAAAAAACACCUGUACCCAGGGUACCCAGGGCCAGAAGUGAUUUGCAUCUGAUGUGUUAGCAACGUAAAGAAAAAAGAAAAUGCAAUAUAUUCAUUAAAAUGAAGUUAGGUGAGUUGUAGGCAGAAGAUCAUUUAUUCCAUUUUAUAAAACUCCAUCGCUAAAACUGUUAAGAAUUUUAAACAUAAAAAUCACUAGAAGGCAUGAAAAUCAUUUCUUACAGUUAUCAAUAAAUUUUAAAAUAACCCAUAAGUUUAUAUAGGCAUAUAUCAAACAAUAUGACCACGCUGAUGUUUAGUAUUAUUCAUUGUAUGAAAUGCAUUUUACUGAGACAGAAAUUUUUACAGUGUGUCAGCUAAUCAAAGCUUUAAAAUUCUGUGUAUAAUGAUAAAUUCGAGUUUCAUUUUCCGUCGGUAAGUCAAAGAUGUGGCAAAAUAUGUAUCAAAAUCUCUAAAUAUUUUAUUGGAGUGGUUUUGAAUGCUAAUAUUUGACCAGUUUAAAUGUACUACAGUUUUUGGUGUCUGCAGCUAUUAAAUUAAAACCCAGAAUUACAUGAAUGUUUAACAAUGGACAGAACAGUAUUUAUCUAAAUUAACAGCCUUUACAUGAACUUUGAAUAAAUGCAGAUCUUUGGAAAACUACUUUUAACAUCAUUAAAUAUUCAUUUAGACUCAAUUCCACAUACAUUCAUGAGAUACACAUAAAUGUAUGUGAUUAAAUUGAUAAAUUAUACUUACAAGCCUUUUCAUAAAGAAUGUUUUUCACACACAGAAAUUAGAGAUUAGUUCCUGGCUUGAUUUGUUUUUCUUAUGAAAUUUAAUAAAGUAUAACACUACAUAUAUAUAUUUUGCUUAUAAUUCUUAAAAUUGCAUAGUAAUGAUAUUAUAAAAUUUAUUCUUCUUUGUAGGUAAUGAAAGCCAAUAUACUUAGAAAUAUUGCUUGACAUAUUAAUCUCUUAGUGUUUGUGUUAUUGACCUAAUAUUCCCAGCUGUCUCCUUCGCACCUUCUACUAUGUAUGUGAACUUUUCAGAUCUUAACAACCAGUAUUUGUGGAAUUGCUUGCUAAAAAAAUUAGUGUACAGACUCUACAAAUGUACAUUCAUAUUUAGUUAACCUUUUAAAUUCAUUCACUCACAUUACAGACUCCUUGAAAAAUGUAACUUAAAAUUAAAACAUUUUAAACUAUGAAAUAAAA